GACGAACGCUGGCGGCGUGCUUAACACAUGCAAGUCGAACGGAAAGGCCCUGCUUUUGUGGGGUGCUCGAGUGGCGAACGGGUGAGUAACACGUGAGUAACCUGCCCUUGACUUUGGGAUAACUUCAGGAAACUGGGGCUAAUACCGGAUAGGAGCUCCUGCUGCAUGGUGGGGGUUGGAAAGUUUCGGCGGUUGGGGAUGGACUCGCGGCAUAUCAGCUUGUUGGUGGGGUAGUGGCUUACCAAGGCUUUGACGGGUAGCCGGCCUGAGAGGGUGACCGGCCACAUUGGGACUGAGAUACGGCCCAGACUCCUACGGGAGGCAACAGUGGGGAAUAUUGCACAAUGGGCGGAAGCCUGAUGCAGCAACGCCGCGUGCGGGAUGACGGCCUUCGGGUUGUAAACCGCUUUCGCCUGUAACGAAGCGUGAGUGACGGUAAUGGGUAAAGAAGCACCGGCUAACUACGU
rnacentral:rRNA from 1 species